rnacentral:tRNA from 1 species
AAUUUUAUGCAAUGAACUUAAAAUUCAUUUAUAAAGAUUAAUCUUUUUUUAGAA